UACUCGAGUGGCGAACGGGUGAGUAACACGUGGGUGAUCUGCCCUGCACUUCGGGAUAAGCUUGGGAAACUGGGUCUAAUACCGGAUAGGAGCCAUCUUUAGUGUGGUGGUUGUAAAGUUUUUUCGGUGUAGGAUGAGCUCGCGGCCUAUCAGCUUGUUGGUGGGGUAAUGGCCUACCAAGGCGUCGACGGGUAGCCGGCCUGAGAGGGUGGACGGCCACAUUGGGACUGAGAUACGGCCCAG
rnacentral:rRNA from 1 species